rnacentral:rRNA from 1 species
GACGAACGCUGGCGGCGUGCUUAACACAUGCAAGUCGAGCGGUAAGGCCCCUUCGGGGUACGACGAGCGGCGAACGGGUGAGUAACACGUGGGUGACCUGCCCUCAGCUCUGGGAUAAGCCUGGGAAACGUGGGUCUAAUACCGGAUAUGACUCCAUGACGCAUGUCGUGGGGUGGAAAGCCUUGUGCGGCUGGGGAUGGGCCCGCGGCCUAUCAGCUUGUUGGUGGGGUGAUGGCCUACCAAGGCGACGACGGGUAGCCGGCCUGAGAGGGCGACCGGCCACACUGGGACUGAGACACGG